rnacentral:rRNA from 1 species
AUUGAACGCUGGCGGCAUGCUUUACACAUGCAAGUCGAACGGCAGCGCGGGUUUCGGCCUGGCGGCGAGUGGCGAACGGGUGAGUAAUGCAUCGGAACGUGCCCAGUAGUGGGGGAUAGCCCGGCGAAAGCCGGAUUAAUACCGCAUACGACCUGAGGGUGAAAGCGGGGGACCGAAAGGCCUCGCGCUAUUGGAGCGGCCGAUGUCGGAUUAGCUAGUUGGUGGGGUAAAGGCUUACCAAGGCGACGAUCCGUAGCUGGUCUGAGAGGACGACCAGCCACACUGGGACUGAGACACGGCCCAGACUCCUACGGGAGGCAGCAGUGGGGAAUUUUGGACAAAGGGGGCAACCCUGAUCCAGCCAUGCCGCGUGCGGGAAGAAGGCCUUCGGGUUGUAAACCGCUUUUGUUCGGGAAGAAAUCCUCUGGGCUAAUACCCCGGGGGGAUGACGGUACCGGAAGAAUAAGCACCGGCUAACUACGUG